GAUGAACGCUGGCGGCGUGCCUAAUACAUGCAAGUCGAGCGAACGGACGAGAAGCUUGCUUCUCUGAUGUUAGCGGCGGACGGGUGAGUAACACGUGGAUAACCUAUCUAUAAGACUGGGAUAACUUCGGGACACCGGAGCUAAUACCGGAUAAUAUUUUGAACCGCAUGGUUCAAAAGUGAAAGACGGUCUUGCUGUCACUUAUAGAUGGAUCCGUGCUGCAUUAGCUAGUUGGUAAGGUAACGGCUUACCAAGGCAACGAUGCAUAGCCGACCUGAGAGGGUGAUCGGCCACACUGGAACUGAGACACGCUCCAGACUCCUACGGGAGGCAGCAGUAGGGAAUCUUCCGCAAUGGGCGAAAACCUGACGGAGCAACGCCACGUGAAUGAUGAAGAUCUUCGGAUCGUAAAACGCUGUUAUUAGUGAAGAACAUAUGUGUAAGUAGCUGUGCACAUCUUGACGGUACCUAAUCAUAAAGCCACGGCUAACUACGGG
rnacentral:rRNA from 1 species